rnacentral:lncRNA from 1 species
GUCUCACACCUAGACUCCGGGAGCUCCAGGUCCCUACUCUCUUAGGUUUCAGGGCCUAACCAAUCAGGAUGGCAAGAAGGACGUAUUUGGGGAGAUCCAAGCCUGUCUGCUUGGCUGUAGUGUAGGACUGGGGGGAAAAGAAAGGCACAGUAAGGAUCAAAACAAGGCUGGAGCGGUAGGUAAAGAUGAGUCCAUGCCAACGUAGGAGGCUUGAAGAUGUUUGGUAGGUCAUAGGUUCCCAAACUUUCCAGCUCACUGCAUCUGUAGCAUCUUCGUAAUUUGUUCAUGGUGCCCUCAGCCAGAAGACAUACUUCACAAUUCCAUUCGUUAAGUAGUGCAGUACAAAAUUGUGUGAAAAUCACAGAAACAAUCACCCACAAUGUCCCGCCCAAGAAACAACCCACAGACCAGCAGCCCACAAGACAGUACAAAGGAUGGGAGCAGCUUCCAUUACUUUCAAGGGAGAUUUGAGCUCUCUGGGAAGAGCAGACAGUAUCCAGCAGAUGCAUUGGAGCCCCAACCUGGUAUUGGAGAUGUUAAGGACAUUGAAAAAGCAACUAAGUCUAUGCUAGACCCAGCACACAGAUCUUAUUUUUACCUUGUAACCCCAAG